GAUGAACGCUGGCGGCGUGCCUAAUACAUGCAAGUCGAGCGAACAGACGAGGAGCUUGCUCCUCUGACGUUAGCGGCGGACGGGUGAGUAACACGUGGAUAACCUACCUAUAAGACUGGGAUAACUUCGGGAAACCGGAGCUAAUACCGGAUAAUAUAUUGAACCGCAUGGUUCAAUAGUGAAAGACGGUUUUGCUGUCACUUAUAGAUGGAUCCGCGCCGCAUUAGCUAGUUGGUAAGGUAACGGCUUACCAAGGCAACGAUGCGUAGCCGACCUGAGAGGGUGAUAGGCCACACUGGAACGGAGACACGGUCCAGACUCCUACGGGAGGCAGCAGUAGGGAAUCUUCCGCAAUGGGCGAAAGCCUGACGGAGCAACGCCGCGUGAGUGAUGAAGGUCUUCGGAUCGUAAAACUCUGUUAUUAGGGAAGAACAAAUGUGUAAGUAACUAUGCACGUCUUGACGGUACCUAAUCAGAAAGCCACGGCUAAAUACGUG
rnacentral:rRNA from 1 species